rnacentral:rRNA from 1 species
GAUGAACGCUGGCGGCGUGCCUAAUACAUGCAAGUCGAGCGAACGGACGAGAAGCUUGCUUCUCUGAUGUUAGCGGCGGACGGGUGAGUAACACGUGGAUAACCUACCUAUAAGACUGGGAUAACUUCGGGAAACCGUAGCUAAUACCGGAUAAUAUUUUGAACCGCAUGGUUCAAAAGUGAAAGACGGUCUUGCUGUCACUUAUAGAUGGAUCCGCGCUGCAUUAGCUAGUUGGUAAGGUAACGGCUUAGCAAGGCAACGAUGCAUAGCCGACCUGAGAGGGUGAUCGGCCACACUGGAACUGAACCACGGUCCAGACUCCUACGGGAGGCAGCAGUAGGGAAUCUUCCGCAAUGGGCGAAAGCCUGACGGAGCGACGGCGCGUGAGUGAUGACGGUCUUCGGAUCGUAAAGAUCUGUUAUUAGGGAAGAACAUAUGUGUAAGUAACUGUGCACAUCUUGACGGUACCUAAUCAGAAAGCCACGGCUAACUACGUG